rnacentral:misc_RNA from 1 species
UGUGAUUCACAUCUGGUUAUAUUUCUUAUUUUGCAACUAAAUCUAAUAUUUAAAUAAACAAUAACUGAAUUGAACACACUAAUACAACUCAAAAAAUUGAAGUUAUUGUAUAAUAAUAUUCAUCAUUUCUGAGUACAACUCAUAAACAACAAUUCUUGAAUAGGAAAGAAAAUUUGGAGUCUUUGUAAUGCAAGGAAAAAAAAAAAGGGAACUAAUUAACCUCUAAAAAUAUUAUUAAAAUUGUUCUUUCCUUCUUCCGACUUUCUGCAACAGGGUGUUCAAGUUGAUGUUUACACCCUAUAGAACAGAAACAUGUAAGGUUUUUAGCUGCAAGUCUAAACAUAUACAAAUGCAUAGAUAUAACAGAAAAAAAUGUCACAAUUUCCAUAAAUUCUCAAUUAACAAUCAUAUACAGUAGAACAGAAUAAUAGAAAGCAUAUUUCAGCCAAUGUAGUUAAUUAAUUGCCAUCUCUAGACAAUUAUUCAGCAUCGCGUCACGAAAUAGCAAUGUAACUAUUGCUUACUCUGAUUAACAUGUUGGAAAUGCCACUCAUUGCCAUGCAGAUCUUUUGGAAUCAAUUGUUGACAAGGUGUCUG